UCCUACGGGAGGCAGCAGUAGGGAAUCUUCCGCAAUGGACGAAAGUCUGACGGAGCAACGCCGCGUGAGUGUUGAAGGCUUUCGGGUCGUAAAACUCUGUUGUUAGGGAAGAACAAGUGCUAGUUGAAUAAGCUGGCACCUUGACGGUACCUAACCAGAAAGCCACGGCUAACUACGUGCCAGCAGCCGCGGUAAUACGUAGGUGGCAAGCGUUAUCCGGAAUUAUUGGGCGUAAAGCGCGCGCAGGUGGUUUCUUAAGUCUGAUGUGAAAGCCCACGGCUCAACCGUGGAGGGUCAUUGGAAACUGGGAGACUUGAGUGCAGAAGAGGAAAGUGGAAUUCCAUGUGUAGCGGUGAAAUGCGUAGAGAUAUGGAGGAACACCAGUGGCGAAGGCGACUUUCUGGUCUGUAACUGACACUGAGGCGCGAAAGCGUGGGGAGCAAACAGGAUUAGAUACCCUGGUAGUCCACGCCGUAAACGAUGAGUGCUAAGUGUUAGAGGGUUUCCGCCCUUUAGUGCUGAAGUUAACGCAUUAAGCACUCCGCCUGGGGAGUACGGCCGCAAGGCUGAAACUCAAAGG
rnacentral:rRNA from 1 species